rnacentral:snRNA from 1 species
GUGCUUGCUUGGGCAGCACAUAUACUAAAAUUAGAACUAUACAGAGAAGAUGAGUAUGGCCUC